rnacentral:lncRNA from 1 species
UGCUUAAAAUUGGGUUAUUGUUUACUUCUCAUUCUCAAUCGGAGAAAGUCAGGUGCGUUCGUCGUGAAAGCAUGUGUGUGAACUGCGAUCCCUAAGCAACCCACUGUGCAAAAUGGCGACCCAGACGCAGGCAAGUGAUGUCCAGCUGAAGCUUGAGAAUGGUACUUACUCUCUGAUGCUAGAACCGCUUGUUCUUGCGGUUAACGACGCAGACCAGGUUUAUGUACACCAUGAUGGACCAAAUCAAGAUGUUAUGAAAUAUCUUCAAGGGCUGGAUGAUUGGCCAGAUGAUAUUCUUCCAUCCCAGAAGCUGAAGGCAUCCAGUUAUGGAGACGGGUUUAACCUGGGAAUGAUCCACUCAAGAUAUUUUAAGUCCAGGGAGAUGUUGGAUUCCCUGUACUCUCAGCAGUGGCAAUAUGAAGAACCGUUUAAUGAUCUUAAUCAAAUCGAGAAAGUGGAGACUGUGGAAAAAAUUUCACUGCUGAAGGUCUUGGAACUUCUGCCUAUGAAGAUCUCCUGCAACAUGGAUUAUUAUUUGGCAAAUCACGAAGAAAUGGAAAAGGAUUUAGGACGAAAGUUAGGCACUUUUGAUCGAGAUGACGAGAAAUUAGUGAAAGAUUUGGAACAGGAGCUGUUUUUUAACCAAGUUAUUAAGAUUAUCGGAGAAAGCGAGGAUGAUGAUCGGGCAACCUUUUCAGUGAUGCUCAAAGACUUCAGGAAGUUGUUUUAUGAUGGGAAUAGCACGUUUGCUACAGCAAGACGUAGAGAAUAUUACCUCUUUUUACACUAUCUUGAAUCAUAGUGAGCUGAAGUUGUAAACUUUGUUUGUACCACAAGAGAAGGACGUUUGCUGCUAGUUAAUAUGGUGUUGUGAAUAUAUGUUUCUUUAUUGAACCUGCUUUAUGCUGUCAAGGUCGCAGUCAAAUAAAAAUGUGAAUAUCUUCUGAACUUGAUUAGUCAUUCAUAAAAUAUUUUUGUUUAAUGAAAGCUGUCGCGCUAGAAAAAACUUCUGACUCUGCAUUUAAUUCAGAAUACCUUGAGAAAUUAAUAUUUGUGUCCAAAAUUUUUAGUCUAAAAAUACAGGGUAGAAUUGUGAUAGAAAAUAAUUCUCCUAAUUUUGAGGGCACAUAUAUCUUCUGCUUAAACACCUAGCAGUUUAGCCAAUAUGCCUAUAGCAUUUUCUAUCAUUUUCAUGAGCUUAGACCAUUAAGCUGCUUCAUAAAUAAUACCUAUUCACAAUUUCCAGUUCACAAUAUUUUUAUCCCUUCAUGGCUUCCAAAGGUGAGGAUUGGAUAUAUUUUAGAUGGAGAAUUCUAAUAAACUUCUAAUGAUU